GAUGAACGCUGGCGGCGUGCUUAACACAUGCAAGUCGAACGAAGCAUUUUUACGGAACAUUUUCGGAUGGGAAGGAAAAAUGACUGAGUGGCGGACGGGUGAGUAACGCGUGGAUAACCUACCAUAUACAGGGGGACAACAGUUGGAAACGACUGCUAAUACCGCAUAAGCGCACAGUGCCGCAUGGCACAGUGUGAAAAACUCCGGUGGUAUAUGAUGGAUCCGCGUCUGAUUAGCUAGUUGGUGAGGUAAUGGCCCACCAAGGCAACGAUCAGUAGCCGACCUGAGAGGGUGACCGGCCACAUUGGGACUGAGACACGGCCCAAACUCCUACGGGAGGCAGCAGUGGGGAAUAUUGCACAAUGGGCGAAAGCCUGAUGCAGCGACGCCGCGUGAGCGAAGAAGUAUUUCGGUAUGUAAAGCUCUAUCAGCAGGGAAGAAAAUGACGGUACCUGACUAAGAAGCCCCGGCUAACUACGUGCCAGCAGACCG
rnacentral:rRNA from 1 species